AUUGGUUCGAAAAUCCAAAUCGUUCACCUUCUGAAGAAAAUGGUUUUGAUGCAAGUUCUUAUGCUGAACAUUGGGGCAGAAAUCCUUCAGCUUCCGAAGAAAAUGGUUUUGAUGCAAGUUCUUAUGCGGAACAUUGGGGUAGAAAUCCUUCAGCUUCCGA